GUGUCAGCCGCCGCGGUAAUACGUAGGUGGCGAGCGUUAUCCGGAAUUAUUGGGCGUAAAGCGCGCGCAGGCGGUCUUUUAAGUCUGAUGUGAAAGCCCACGGCUCAACCGUGGAUGGCCAUUGGAAACUGGAAGACUUGAAUACAGAAGAGGAAAGUGGAAUUCCACGUGUAGCGGUGAAAUGCGUAGAGAUGUGGAGGAACACCAGUGGCGAAGGCGACUUUCUGGUCUGAUAUUGACGCUGAGGCGCGAAAGCGUGGGGAGCAAACAGGAUUAGAUACCCUGGUAGUCCACGCCGUAAACGAUGAGUGCUAAGUGUUAGAGGGUUUCCGCCCUUUAGUGCUGAAGUUAACGCAUUAAGCACUCCGCCUGGGGAGUACGGUCGCAAGACUGAA
rnacentral:rRNA from 1 species